AUCUGNGACCGGCGCACGGGUGCGUAACGCGUAUGCAAUCUACCUUUUACUAUGGGAUAGCCCAGAGAAAUUUGGAUUAAUACCAUAUAGUAUAUUUGAAUGGCAUCGUUUGAAUAUUAAAGAUUUAUCGGUAAAAGAUGAGCAUGCGUCCCAUUAGUUAGUUGGUGUGGCAACGGCAUACCAAGACGAUGAUGGGUAGGGGUCCUGAGAGGGAGAUCCCCCACACUGGUACUGAGACACGGACCAGACUCCUACGGGAGGCAGCAGUGAGGAAUAUUGGUCAAUGGAGGCAACUCUGAACCAGCCAUGCCGCGUGCAGGAUGACGGUCCUAUGGAUUGUAAACUGCUUUUGUACGGGAAGAAAACAAACUACGAGUAGUUAAUUGACGGUACCGUAAGAAUAAGGAUCGGCUAACUCCGUGCCAGCAGCCGCGGUAAUACGGAGGAUCCAAGCGUUAUCCGGAAUCAUUGGGUUUAAAGGGUCCGUAGGCGGCCUUAUAAGUCAGUGGUGGAAAGUUUUUNGCUUAACCAAAAAAUUGCCAUUGAUACUGUAGGGCUUGAAUAUCUGUGAAGUANCUAGAAUAUGUAGUGUANCCGGUG
rnacentral:rRNA from 1 species